CUUCCUGAACCAGCGGAAUUCGUGGAUUUAAUAUUGGCGUUCCGCUACAACGAACACAAAUAUAAGUAUAUAACUGUGUUUGAAAUUCCCGAAAUAGACUGACUGCACAGCCUAAUUUCGAGGAUCUAUUUUGGGCAGGAGCCUCGUAUGCGGUUAGUCUAAACUAUACCCCGGCGGCAUUUCGGCUAUAUUCGUGGGAUCUGAGUGAUUUCGACAUAUGUUGGGCCAGGCUAUCCGUUGAUACAAUACUGUUGAUACAAUACUUGUCCUGGACCAGAGAGGUAAUGGAAUUGUGUGUGCGUUUAUGUUGCUGUCCCCUCAGGUCCAGUGGGGAAUGCCCCUGGAAUGUGUCACCAGAAACCCCUUGCAUGGAGACUUGCAUUAAAGGACAGCUGUGGCUCCCAUUAAACCAGUUCCAGUUUACCCUCAAAACAGAGCCUUGUCUCGAGUCUGUAGGGAACAACGAUAACAGCAAUU